CAGUAGGGAGGAAGGUAGUGUAGUUAACACCUGCACUAUUUGACGUUACCUACAGAAGAAAGCACCGGCUAACUCCGUGCCAGCAGCCGCGGUAAUACGGAGGGUGCGAGCGUUAAUCGGAAUUACUGGGCGUAAAGCGCAUGCAGGCGGCCUGUUAAGUCAGAUGUGAAAGCCCGGGGCGUUAACCUCGGAAUUGCAUUUGAAACUGGCAGGCUAGAGUCUUGUAGAGGGGGGUAGGAAUUUCAGGUGUAGCGGUGAAAUGCGUAGGGAUCUGAAGGAAUACCAGUGGCGAAGGCGGCCCCCUGGACAAAGACUGACGCUCAGAUGCGAAAGCGUGGGGAGCAAACAGGAUUAGAUACCCUGGUAG
rnacentral:rRNA from 1 species